AUAUAUAUAUAACAAUGAGCAUCUGUCGGGUAUAUCGUAUAUGACAGU
rnacentral:guide_RNA from 1 species